ensembl:rRNA 5S_rRNA 5S ribosomal RNA
GCUUACGGCCAUACCACCCUGAGAACGCCCGAUCUCGUCAGAUCUCGGAAGCUAAGCAGGGUCGGGCCUGGUUAGUACUUGGAUGGGAGACCGCCUGGGAAUACCAGGUGCUGUAAGCU